UGAAUUCUGGAAUCUCAAAGUAAGAGUAUGGAGAUAACAAAUCUUGAAGAUUCUCAUAGAAAGAAUGAAGCAGAGAAACAAGCUGUGACGGAAGCACAUUUUGGAGCACUGUAUCUGCUUAUAAAAUGGUUGAAAUUUUGAGAAAGGGUCAUGGAAAGAGAAAAUAAAAGGAGGAGAAAAAGAAAAAGAAGCAUGUGUAUAUUAGCAUAAAAAGCCACGAAUAUGGAGGAUGGGCAAAAAAUUCAGUGUAGGUCAGCCUUGAGAGAAAGCUCUCCUUAAAUGGGGUAUCAAGAAUAAAGCCAAAAAGAGGGUUCUCCUUGGAAUGUCAAUCAUCUAAUGGAUCAUAUUCCAUCUAUGUUUAAGGGUUAGAAUGGAUUAAACUAUUAAGCUUGAGUAGAGAUCCUCUCCAUUAAUGGAGAGACAAGUGAUGUGUAAAACAAGGUAAAAAUGAAAAGACAAUUAUGUCUUUCUAUUUACACAUGUAAUCAUUUUAAUUCUUAAGGUAAGUGUAAAUACAUCAUUUGUCUUUCCAUUAAUGGAGAGGAUUUCUAUUCAUUAAGCUCAGGGUGUAAUCAAUAGCAAUUCUAAAUCAAUCAAUAGGUAGAAAAUUGUACUUUAAGCAUAGGUCAUGGUAAACUAUUAUGACGUCGUUCGAUCCAUGAAGCCGGUUAUUGGGUCGAUUAUUACUUCUACUUGUGAUUACACCUUAGGCCUUGAAUAAUCUCUGCUUAAAUUGGGGCAUCAG